rnacentral:misc_RNA from 1 species
AAUGAUAGAGUAUUUAUAAAGGUAGCCGAGGCUGAGGAGAAGACUUCUGGAGGCUUGUUGCUGACAGAGGCAACCAAAGAGAAACCUUCUAUUGGCACUGUGGUAGCAGUUGGGCCUGGAACUGUUGAUGAGGAAGGCAACAGGAAACCCCUAUCCGUCGCCCCGGGAAACACAGUCUUGUACUCAAAGUAUGCAGGGAAUGACUU